UAAAGUCUUGUGCAGAUUCUCAUGCACAGUUCCACCACCAUCACUCCUUAUGGAAAAAUCCAGAGUUCUUUGUCCAUCUCCCAUUUAAGCUAAAUGAAGAUAUAAAUUUUUUGAGAACAGUAUGAGAAUCAGCACCUUCUCGAAGCAUUUGGACAUCAAGCCAGACUUUAAAUUCUGCAAAACGAUCUCUCCAUUUGGAUGGAGGGACAUCAUCCAAUGUGAACCAUGGGCCUG
rnacentral:misc_RNA from 1 species